rnacentral:lncRNA from 1 species
GAGAAAGCAAUUAUUUGUACAAAAAGAAGAAAUAGAAGUCUUCUCGGUUAACACUCUUAUCCAAGAACAUGAUGAUUUUCUACUAGAGAGUAAAGUUGAUGAAACAUAUGUUUGUUUCAAGGUAUUGAGCAGUGAUAUGAGGUAGAGGAAACUUUUGUUGAGGUGCGGGUCUAAGAGUAAGGAAAUCUUAGGUACUGAAAAUGUUAAAA